rnacentral:rRNA from 1 species
UACAGAGGGUGCGAGCGUUGUCCGGAAUCACUGGGCGUAAAGGGCGCGUAGGCGGCUUGAUAAGCGUGCGGUGAAAGCCCGGGGCUCAACCCCGGGUCGGCCGUGCGAACUGUCGAGCUGGAGCACUGUAGAGGCAGGUGGAAUUCCGGGUGUAGCGGUGGAAUGCGUAGAGAUCCGGAAGAACACCGGUGGCGAAGGCGGCCUGCUGGGCAGUGGCUGACGCUGAGGCGCGACAGCGUGAGGAGCAAACAGG